rnacentral:rRNA from 1 species
AUUGAACGCUGGCGGCAUGCCUUACACAUGCAAGUCGAACGGCAGCGGGACCUUCGGGUGCCGGCGAGUGGCGAACGGGUGAGUAAUAUAUCGGAACGUACCUUUCAGUGGGGGAUAACGUAGCGAAAGUUACGCUAAUACCGCAUAUUCUGUGAGCAGGAAAGCAGGGGAUCGCAAGACCUUGCGCUGAUUGAGCGGCCGAUAUCAGAUUAGCUAGUUGGUGAGGUAAAGGCUCACCAAGGCGACGAUCUGUAGCGGGUCUGAGAGGAUGAUCCGCCACACUGGAACUGAGACACGGUCCAGACUCCUACGGGAGGCAGCAGUGGGGAAUUUUGGACAAUGGGCGCAAGCCUGAUCCAGCCAUGCCGCGUGAGUGAAGAA